rnacentral:rRNA from 1 species
UACGUAGGGUGCAAGCGUUGUCCGGAAUUAUUGGGCGUAAAGAGCUCGUAGGCGGUCUGUCACGUCGGCUGUGAAAUCCCGAGGCUCAACCUCGGGUCUGCAGUCGAUACGGGCAAACUAGAGUAUUGCAGGGGAGACUGGAAUUCCUGGUGUAGCGGUGAAAUGCGCAGAUAUCAGGAAGAACACCAAUGGCGAAAGCAGCUUUCUGGGACGGUACUGACGCUGAGACGCGAAAGCGUGGGGAGCGAACAGG